rnacentral:rRNA from 1 species
AUGAACGCUAGCGGCAGGCUUAACACAUGCAAGUCGAGGGGCAGCGUGUCCAGCAAUGGAUGAUGGCGACCGGCGGAAGGGUGCGUAACGCGUGAGCAACAUGCCCUAUACAGGGAGAUACACCAGGGAAACUUGGUCUAAUAUCCCAUAGCAUUCAUUGAAGGCAUCUUUAAUGAAUUAAAGCUUCGGUGGUAUAGGAUUGGCUCGCGUGACAUUAGCCAGAUGGUGAGGUAACGGCUCACCAUAGCAAUGAUGUCUAGGGGUUUUGAGAGGAAGGCCCCCCACACUGGGACUGAGACACGGCCCAGACUCCUACGGGAGGCAGCAGUGAGGAAUAUUGGACAAUGGAUGGAAAUCUGAUCCAGCCAUGCCGCGUGCAGGAAGACGGCCUUAUGGGUUGUAAACUGCUUUUAUACGGGAGCAAUAAGGGUUACGAGUAAUCCGAUGAGAGUACUGUAUGAAUAAGGAUCGGCUAACUCCGUGCCAGCAGCCGCGGUAAUACGGAGGAUCCGAGCGUUAUCCGGAAUUAUUGGGUUUAAAGGGUGCGUAGGCGGCCAUUUAAGUCAGCGGUGAAAUUUUGCAGCUUAACUGUAACAGUGCCGUUGAUACUGUUUGGCUAGGAUUUGGUUGUAGUGUGCGGAAUGUGUGGUGUAGCGGUGAAAUGCUUAGAUAUCACACAGAACACCGAUUGCGAAGGCAGCACACUAAGUCAUUAUUGACGCUGAGGCACGAAAGUGUGGGGAUCAAACAGGAUUAGAUACCCUGGUAGUCCACACUGUAAACGAUGAUAACUCGCUGUCGGCGAUACACAGUCGGUGGCCAAGCGAAAGC